GAUGAACGCUGGCGGCGUGCUUAACACAUGCAAGUCGAACGGACAGGCCCUGCUUUUGUGGGGUGCUCGAGUGGCGCACGGGUGAGUAACACGUGUGUAACCUGCCCUUGUCUUUCGGGUAACUUCAGGAAACUGGGGCUAAUACCGCAUAGGAGCUCCUGCUGCAUGGUGGGGGUUGGAAAGUUUCGGCGGUUUGGGAUGGACUCGCGGCUUAUCAGCUUGUUGGUCGGGUAGUUGCUUACCAAGGCUUUGAGGGGUAGCCGGCCUUGGAGGGGGGCCGGCCUCAAUGGUCCUGAGGUACGCACCAGACGGCUACGGGAGGCAGCAGUCGGAAGUAUGGCACAACGGGGGGAAGUGAGAGGUGGAAACGUCGGGUGCGUGAUGCUGGGUUACGAGGUGUAAACCGCUUUGGCCUGUACUGUAGCGUUCUUGACGGUAACUGGUAAAGAAGCAACGGCUAACUACGUG
rnacentral:rRNA from 1 species